rnacentral:rRNA from 1 species
UACGAGGGGGGCGAGCGUUGUUCGGAAUUAUUGGGCGUAAAGGGCGCGUAGGCGGUGCGGUAAGUCACCUGUGAAACCUCUGGGCUUAACUCAGAGCCUGCAGGCGAAACUGCCGUGCUGGAGUGUGGGAGAGGUGCGUGGAAUUCCCGGUGUAGCGGUGAAAUGCGUAGAGAUCCGGAGGAACACCAGUGGCGAAGGCGACACGCUGGGCCGUACCUGACACUGAUGCGCGACAGCAUGGGGAGCAAACAGG